rnacentral:lncRNA from 1 species
CAGCUCGUUUAUGAAUUGAUAAGCCUGACUUGGAUCCACUUCUUAUGACAUUUCUAUGUAUGGCAACUACCAUACCAUCUCCAAGCAUAGAAAUAUAUACGCUACAUUGAGCUCACCCUGUAGGCAUCUAUGGAGAGCAUUAAGAUAUGGAUUCCCUUCAUAUCCAUCCAAUAUGAUUAAUCUAUGGUGCAACUUUUGCACCGGAGAGUGCUAUAUCA